rnacentral:rRNA from 1 species
UCUAAGUACAUACUAAAAUAAAGUUAAACCGCAUAAGGCUCAUUAUAUCAGUUAUGGUUUUUUAGAUCGUAUUCACAGUUACUUGGAUAACUGUGGUAAUUCUAGAGCUAAUACAUGCAUUUAAUGGGAUCCUAACAGAUCCUUGCUUUUAUUAGAUAAAAACCAAUGGGGCAACUUCGGUUGCUCAUACACAUGGUUGAACUCUGGAUAAUUUGUUGAUCGCAUGGUCUCGUACCGGCGACGGAUCUUUCAAAUGUCUGCCCUAUCAACUAUUGAAGGUAGUGUCUUGGACUACCUUGGUUGCAACGGGUAACGGGGAAUCAGGGUUCGAUUCCGGAGAGGGAGCCUGAGAAACGGCUACCACAUCUAAGGAAGGCAGCAGGCGCGUAAAUUACCCACUCCCGGCACGGGGAGGUAGUGACGAAAAAUAACAAUACAAGACUCACAUCUGAGGCCUUGUAAUUGGAAUGAGUACACUUUAAAUCCUUUAACAAGGAUCAAUUGGAGGGCAAGUCUGGUGCCAG